rnacentral:rRNA from 1 species
CGUGGAGCGAUUUGUCUGGUUUAUUCCGAUAACGAGCGAGACUCUAGCCUGCUAAAUAGUCGAGACAUUGCCUCGUGUCCACGACUUCUUAGAGGGAUUUUCGGCGUUCAGCCGCACGAGAUUGAGCAAUAACAGGUCUGUGAUGCCCUUAGAUGUCCGGGGCUGCACGCGCGCUACACUGGCGAAGGCAGCGUGCCUGUCCUGCCCCGAAAGGGGUGGGUAAACCAUUGAAAAUUUGCCGUGAUUGGGAUCGGAAAUUGCAAUUAUUUUCCGUGAACGAGGAAUUCCAAGUAAGUGCGAGUCAUCAACUCGCGUUGAAUACGUCCCUGCCCUUUGUAC